rnacentral:ribozyme from 1 species
UAAUUUUUUAUUGAGAACGACUUUAUUUUUGGAAUUCACAAAUUUCAAACUUGCCAUCAAGUUCGAUAGACCCCAGAGGGAUAAAACGCUUAAGUCGAAUUUCUAUGAUAUAUAUACCUCCCUUUGGUACGGGCGUUGGUGCUUAAUAUUGUUUGCAGCUGUUACAAUUGGAUUGAAAAAAAAAAAAAACAAAAAAAAAAAAAAAAACCAAAAAAAAAAGAAAAAAAAUCUAUUUCAAAUCAAUUUUGGUUUUGUUUUUUUUUUUGUUU